rnacentral:rRNA from 1 species
UGGCUGUCGUCAGCUCGUGUUGUGAAAUGUUGGGUUAAGUCCCGCAACGAGCGCAACCCUUAUCCUUAGUUGCCAGCGAGUUAUGUCGGGAACUCUAGGGAGACUGCCGGUGAUAAACCGGAGGAAGGUGGGGACGACGUCAAGUCAUCAUGGCCCUUACGAGUAGGGCUACACACGUGCUACAAUGGUAUGUACAGAGGGAGGCAAGCUGGCGACAGUGAGCGGAUCUCUUAAAGCAUAUCGUAGUCCGGAUCGCAGUCUGCAACUCGACUGCGUGAAGUCGGAAUCGCUAGUAAUCGCAAAUCAG